CUCCACGUUAAUCGCCGAGCGUUCAUCCUCUUCCAAAUUCUUCUCCUUUAAUCCUUUCUUUGUCUCUCCAGCUUUGAAUUCAUGGCGCAUAGCGGCUUACUCGGAGGCGGCAUACGGUGGAAAACAAGGAAGAAAAUGCGAGAGAAUGUCUCCGAUGAACGAGGCCAACAAAAUGGAACCCUAACUGUUCUUCUCCAAGACCCUUUCGAGGUUUUGGGUUCUGAUCUAUUAAUGGCGAUUCUUGGCUACGUUGAUUCACGCAGCGUGGCACUUUCUCUUCUUGUCUCUCGAUCCUGGUAUGGAAUUGCUUCCAGCGAUUCCCUAUGGAGUUCUAAGUGUGUGGAACUGUGGCUUGGGAUUGCACAUAUCCCUAGAUUGGCGCAAACCCGAGGUCUUCCAAAGAUGGCUGCCUAUUCGUUAUCUGUCAUGGAUGGCAAUCGGACUCGCAUUAUGAGGGAGGAUUUAUGUGACCACGCUUGGCAAUUUCACUUCAAUAAGUUGCACAAACUAUUUAUUCCCAUCUGGAAAUUUGAAAAUGUAACAGCGCACACGAUUAGCUGCAAGAGAGGUUAGAUGCCCGAUGAUGGAUGUUUUAGUAAUACAAAUUUCAUGAACGAUGUUCACAAUUUGAGAGCCAUGCUAGUGAUUAUGUUAUAAAUCAUCUAACAUGCACAAAAAGCUCGUUGGACUUGGAAGCCCAUGAAGCAUGGGUACUUUAGUUUAGGCAUUGUGUCUGUGUCUGACAUGUGCCACCACAUCCGUGUUGUGUCGUGUUCGUGAAUUACUUGCUCUCGGAAUGUCUAUGUUGAUGCUCACAGUUCUGAUAGCACGGUGAGGUAAAGGGGAUGUCUCGGAAGCUCCUGUUUACUGGCGAGAUCUUGAUCCGUAUUGGCAAGGUAGCCACCUUCUCAUGCGCCGUUAUUUCCACCCCGAUGGGAGCCAAACUGCAGAUCCUGAUGACAGAGUAUGGGGUGGCCAUGAAUGCUGCUUUUCCACUGUAACCACCGUUGUUGGUGAUGGGAAGAUCAGAGAACACUAUGUGAGGAUUAACAAAUGGCCAAAAGGAUGUUGGUGUCGAGGAAUGAAGAUUGGAGCUGGGAGAUGUCGAAUCACUUCACUUCGUACUCGAGCAUAGCUGAUGCUGAGGACGGUGGGACAGGGCCACUUUAAAGUAACAUAAUCAAAUUAGUUCCCUCCUUGAAUCUUGUCUUCUGGUAAGACAUUAGCCAAAAGGGUCACAAAAGGCUGGUGACGAAUGAUUGUUUGCUCUUUCUUGUAGAGGCUGCUGUUUUGCUGUGUACACAAGUUUGCGAGUCAUAGGAUUUGGUACUGGUUUUAGGUCACAUGUUCUUUUGAUCCUUAGCAUAAUAAUGGGAGGUAGGUUCUGUGUGUUUGUAGAUAAUGCUUGCUUGUAAGUAGUAGCGUUUGUAAUUAAUAAGUUUUCAUAUUUUAGGAGUGAUUUUGCUUUCGGACCGUUUUUUUUACUCGGUACAGCAAAUGUGAGGUAUAAUGAUUUGAACUUCCGACCUUAAAGGAGGGAGGACAUGCUACUAGGUUAUAUAUUUGAUUCUUAGGGUAUAGCUCUUUAAUACAUUCUUUUUCACAAUUGUAUAAGAUUAAUAUUGAACA